rnacentral:rRNA from 1 species
CUAACCUGCCCACUGAUUUAUUAAAGGGCCGCGGUAUAUUGACUGUGCAAAGGUAGCAUAAUCAUUUGUCUUUUAAUUGAAGGCUAGAAUGAAUGGUUGAAUGAAGUAUUGACUGUCUCAUUAUAAAAAGUAUAAAAAUUUAAUUUUUUAGUCAAAAAGCUAAAAUUUAAUUAGAGGACGAGAAGACCCUAUAGAUCUUUAUAUUAUAAUUUAAAAUAAGUUUAUUGAAAAAAAAAUAUUAUUUUUGAUUAUAAUAUUUUGUUGGGGUGACAGGAAAAUUUAAUAAACUAUUUUUAUUUAAAACCAAUAAUAAUUGAAUAAUUGAUCCAAUAAUAUUGAUUAAAAGUUUAAGUUACCUUAGGGAUAACAGCGUAAUUUUUUUGGCGAGUUCAUAUUAAUAAAAAAGAUUGCGACCUCGAUGUUGAAUUAAAGAU